GCCGCGGUAGUGUAGUGGUAAGCACAUCAGGUUUUGAUUGGUUUCUUUCUUCUCCUGAGAACCCAGGUUCGAACCCUGGCCAUGGCU
rfam:Magnaporthe poae ATCC 64411 unplaced genomic scaffold supercont1.4, whole genome shotgun sequence.